GGCUAUGAUGCAGUCGAACGAACUCUGGUAUUGAUUGGUGCUUGCAUCAUGAUUUACAUUUGAGUGAGUGGCGAACUGGUGAGUAACACGUGGGAAACCUGCCCAGAAGCGGGGGAUAACACCUGGAAACAGAUGCUAAUACCGCAUAACAACUUGGACCGCAUGGUCCGAGUUUGAAAGAUGGCUUCGGCUAUCACUUUUGGAUGGUCCCGCGGCGUAUUAGCUAGAUGGUGGGGUAACGGCUCACCAUGGCAAUGAUACGUAGCCGACCUGAGAGGGUAAUCGGCCACAUUGGGACUGAGACACGGCCCAAACUCCUACGGGAGGCAGCAGUAGGGAAUCUUCCACAAUGGACGAAAGUCUGAUGGAGCAACGCCGCGUGAGUGAAGAAGGGUUUCGGCUCGUAAAACUCUGUUGUUAAAGAAGAACAUAUCUGAGAGUAACUGUUCAGGUAUUGACGGUAUUUAACCAGAAAGCCACGGCUAACUACGUGCCAGCAGCCGCGGUAAUACGUAGGUGGCAAGCGUUGUCCGGAUUUAUUGGGCGUAAAGCGAGCGCAGGCGGUUUUUUAAGUCUGAUGUGAAAGCCUUCGGCUCAACCGAAGAAGUGCAUCGGAAACUGGGAAACUUGAGUGCAGAAGAGGACAGUGGAACUCCAUGUGUAGCGGUGAAAUGCGUAGAUAUAUGGAAGAACACCAGUGGCGAAGGCGGCUGUCUGGUCUGUAACUGACGCUGAGGCUCGAAAGUAUGGGUAGCAAACAGGAUUAGAUACCCUGGUAGUCCAUACCGUAAACGAUGAAUGCUAAGUGUUGGAGGGUUUCCGCCCUUCAGUGCUGCAGCUAACGCAUUAAGCAUUCCGCCUG
rnacentral:rRNA from 2 species